GGAGGGUCCAAGCGUUAUCCGGAUUUAUUGGGUUUAAAGGGGUGCGUAGGGCGGAAUUGUAAGUCAGAGGUGAAAGCCCACAGCUUAACUGUGGAACUGCCUUCGAUACUGCUAUUCUUGAGUUCAGAUGAGGUGGGCGGAAUGUGACAUGUAGCGGUGAAAUGCAUAGAUAUGUCACAGAACACCGAUUGCGAAGGCAGCUCACUAAACUGACACUGACGCUGAGGCACGAAAGCGUGGGGAGCGAACAGGAUUAGAUACCCUGGUAGUCCACGCCGUAAACGAUGAUUACUCGAUGCGUGCAAUACAUAGUACGUGUCCAAGCGAAAGCGUUAAGUAAUCCACCUGGGGAGUACGAUCGCAAGGUUG
rnacentral:rRNA from 1 species